rnacentral:rRNA from 1 species
GCUGGCGGCAUGCUUUACACAUGCAAGUCGAGCGGCAGCGCGGGGGCAACCCUGGCGGCGAGCGGCGAACGGGUGAGUAAUACAUCGGAACGUGUCCCGUAGAGGGGGAUAGCCCGGCGAAAGCCGGAUUAAUACCGCAUAUGCUCUACGGAGGAAAGCAGGGGAUCGCAAGACCUUGCGCUAUGGGAGCGGCCGAUGUCCGAUUAGCUAGUUGGCGGGGUAAUGGCCCACCAAGGCGACGAUCGGUAGCUGGUCUGAGAGGAUGAUCAGCCACACUGGGACUGAGACACGGCCCAGACUCCUACGGGAGGCAGCAGUGGGGAAUAUUGGACAAUGGGGGAAACCCUGAUCCAGCGACGCCGCGUGUGUGAAGAAGGCCUGCGGGUUGUAAAGCACUUUUAGUGGGGACAAAAAGCUACGGACUAAUAUUCUGUGGUCUUGAUUUAACCCAAAGAAAAAGCACCGGCUAACUCUGUGCCAGCAGCCGCGGUAAUACAGAGGGUGCGAGCGUUAAUCGGAAUUACUGGGCGUAAAGCGCGCGUAGACGGUUUUGUAAGUCAGAUGUGAAAUCCCUGGGCUCAACCUGGGAACUGCAUUUGAUACUGCAUGGCUAGAGUAUCGAAGAGGGAAGUGGAAUUUCCGGUGUAGCGGUGAAAUGCGUAGAUAUCGGAAGGAACACCAGUGGCGAAAGCGACUUCCUGGUCGAAUACUGACGUUCAUGUGCGAAAGCGUGGGGAGCAAACAGGAUUAGA